rnacentral:rRNA from 1 species
ACUCAAAUGAAUAGACGGGAGCCCGCACAAGCAGUGGAGUAUGUGGUUUAAUUCGAAGCAACGCGAAGAACCUUACCAGGGAUUGACAUCCACGGAAUUCUGGGUAAAGCCGGAAGUGCCCUUCGGGGAGCCGUGAGACAGGUGGUGCAUGGUUGUCGUCAGCUCGUGUCGUGAGAUGUUGGGUUAAGUCCCGCAACGAGCGCAACCCUUACGGUCAGUUGCUACGCAAGAGCACUCUGGCCGGACUGCCGUUGACAAAACGGAGGAAGGUGGGGAUGAGGUCAAAUCAUCAUGCCCCUUAAACUCUGGGCUACACACGUACUACAAUGGCGCAGGAACAACGGGAAGCGAAGCCGCGAGGCGGAGCAAAUCCCCAAAAGGCGCCCCAGUUCAGAUUGCAGGCUGCAACCCGCCUGCAUGAAGUCGGAAUUGCUAGUAAUCGCGAAUCAGAAUGUCGCGGUGAAUACGUUCCCGGGCUUUGUACACACCGCCCGU